CCCGCUGAACUUAAGCAUAUCAAUAAGCGGAGGAAAAGAAACCAACAGGGAUUGCCUCAGUAACGGCGAGUGAAGCGGCAACAGCUCAAAUUUGAAAUCUGGCCUCUGGCCCGAGUUGUAAUUUGCAGAGGAUGUUUCUGGCGAGGUGCCUUCCGAGUUCCCUGGAACGGGACGCCAUAGAGGGUGAGAGCCCCGUACGGUUGGUCGCUAAGCCUCUGUGAAACUCCUUCGACGAGUCGAGUAGUUUGGGAAUGCUGCUCUAAAUGGGAGGUGUACGCCUUCUAAAGCUAAAUAUAGGCUAGAGACCGAUAGCGCACAAGUAGAGUGAUCGAAAGAUGAAAAGCACUUUGAAAAGAGGGUUAAAUAGUACGUGAAAUUGUUGAAAGGGAAGCGCUCUUGACCAGACUUGCGCCGGUUGAUCAUCCACCGUUCUCGGUGGUGCACUCUGCCGGCUCAGGCCAGCAUCAGUUCGGCUUGGGGGAUAAAGGCUUCGGGAAUGUGGCUCUCUCCGGGGAGUGUUAUAGCCCGUUGCGUAAUACCCUGGGCCGGACUGAGGUUCGCGCAUCUGCAUGGAUGCUGGCGUAAUGGUCAUCAGUGACCCGUCUUGAAACACGG
rnacentral:rRNA from 1 species